rnacentral:rRNA from 1 species
GNUUAACGCUGGCGGCNGGCCUAANUUAUGCAAGUCCACGCGGUAACANGNAGNAAGCUUGCUUUUUUNGANGNCNANCGGNNGACGGGUGAGUAAUGCCUANGGAACUGCCCACUCGNGGGGGAUAACAGUUGGAAACGACUGCUAAUACCGCAUACGCCCUACGGGGGAAAAGAGGGGAUCUUCGGACCUUCUGCNAUUGGAUGUACCUAGGUGGGAUUAGCUAGUAGGUGAGGUAAUGGCUCACCUAGGCNACNAUCCCUAGCUGUUCUGAGAGGAUGAUCAGCCACACUGGGACUGAGACACGGCCCANACUCCUACGGGAGGCAGCAGUGGGGAAUAUUGCACAAUGGGCGCAAGCCUGAUGCAGCCAUGCCGCGUGUGUGAANAAGGCCUUCGGGUUGUAAAGCACUUUCAGCGAGGAGGAAAGGUUAACNGUUAAUACCCGUUAGCUGUGACGUUACUCGCANAANAAGCACCGGCUAACUUCGUGCCAGCAGCCGCGGGUNAUA